AUUGAACGCUGGCGGCAGGCCUAACACAUGCAAGUCGAGCGGAUGACGGGAGCUUGCUCCUUGAUUCAGCGGCGGACGGGUGAGUAAUGCCUAGGAAUCUGCCUGGUAGUGGGGGACAGCGUUUCGAAAGGAACGCUAAUACCGCAUACGUCCUACGGGAGAAAGCAGGGGACCUUCGGGCCUUGCGCUAUCAGAUGAGCCUAGGUCGGAUUAGCUAGGUGGUGGGGUAAUGGCUCACCAAGGCGACGAUCCGUAACUGGUCUGAGAGGAUGAUCAGUCACACUGGAACUGAGACACGGUCCAGACUCCUACGGGAGGCAGCAGUGGGGAAUAUUGGACAAUGGGCGAAAGCCUGAUCCAGCCAUGCCGCGUGUGUGAAGAAGGUCUUCGGAUUGUAAAGCACUUUAAGUUGGGAGGAAGGGCAGUAAGCUAAUACCUUGCUGUUUUGACGUUACCGACAGAAUAAGCACCGGCUAACUCUGUGCCAGCCGCCGCAGUAAAAC
rnacentral:rRNA from 1 species